rnacentral:misc_RNA from 1 species
UAUGAAGUCAUCGAUCAUUAUGUUAUUGUAGCUGAUGAGAAAGAAGUGAAAAGAAAGAUGCUGGUUUCUUUGCCAGAGGAUUAUGCUGGGAAGCUUAGUGUGCAGAAGAAUGGAACUGAGGAGUCUGAUAUGGAAAUUCCAGAAGUGAAGGAUUAUAAACCAAGGAAAACACUUGGAGAAGAGGUGAUAGAGCAGGAAGUCUAUGGUAUUGAUCCAUACACUCAUAAUCUUCUCCUCGAUUCCAUGCCAGAUGAAUCGGAUUGGUCUCUUCUGGACAAGCAUUUAUUUAUUGAAGACGUGCUCCUUCGUACUCUAAACAAGCAAGUUCGGCGCUUCACGGGCAGUCACACACCAAUGAUAUAUUCUCUGAAGCCUGUUUUCGAAGAGAUUCUGGAAACUGCAGACAAAGAUCAGGACAAGAGGACUAUACGUUUAUGCCAGUUCAUGCUGAAUGCCAUCGAUACUCGUCCAGAGGACAAUUAUGUUGCCUAUAGAAAGGGUCUUGGGGUUGUGUGCAACAAAGAAGGUGGCUUCAGCGAGGAAGAUUUUGUCGUCGAAUUCUUGGGGGAGGUUUAUCCUGCUUGGAAGUGGUUUGAGAAGCAAGAUGGAAUUCGGUCCUUGCAAAGGAAUAACAAUGAUCCUGCACCGGAGUUUUACAAUAUUUAUCUUGAGAGGCCUAAGGGUGAUGCUGAUGGAUAUGAUCUAGUUGUUGUUGAUGCAAUGCACAAAGCUAACUAUGCUAGUCGAAUUUGUCACUCGUGCAGACCUAAUUGUGAAGCAAAAGUAACAGCUGUUGAUGGUCAGUAUCAGAUUGGAAUUUAUAGUACACGACCAAUUGCUUAUGGUGAAGAGGUCACUUUUGAUUACAAUUCUGUUACGGAGAGUAAAGAAGAGUAUGAAGCGUCUGUCUGUUUAUGCGGCAGCCAGGUGUGCCGUGGAAGUUACUUGAAUCUUACAGGUGAAGGGGCUUUCCUGAAGGUGCUCCAGGAGUACCAUGGGUUACUUAACCGGCACCAGCUGAUGCUAGAGGCGUGCGAACUGAAUUCAGUUUCUGAAGAAGAUUACAUUGAUCUUGGUAAAGCUGGACUUGGAAGUUGUUUACUUGCUGGUCUGCCACAUUGGUUGAUUGCUUAUUCAGCUCGUUUGGUGAGGUUUAUCAAUUUUGAGAGGACGAAGCUUCCCGAUGAGAUACUCAAACAUAAUUUGGAAGAGAAGAAGAAAUACUUUUCAGAUGUUUGUCUGGAAGUUGAGAAAAACGAAUCUGAGAUUCAGGCUGAGGGUGUUUACAAUCAAAGGCUUCAGAACUUGGCUCUGACUCUUGACAAGGUGCGUUAUGUAAUGAGAUGUGUUUUCGGUGACCCCGAAAAGGCUCCCCCUCCUCUUGAGAGGCG